rnacentral:misc_RNA from 1 species
GUGAAUCAUCAAAUCUUUGAACGCAAAUUGCACUCUCUUCGGAGAGUAUGCCUGUUUGAGGGUCAGCCUAAAAAAAUCGACAUUGUUUCUGUUUCGCGGUGACAUUCGUCGGAAAUUGGGUCAUCUUUAACCUUUGGGUUUUAAGGGGCUUAAAAUUUUCUUUAAGAUUCCAAGAACGUUUCUAAGGGUUAAUUUUUACCCGUUUAAGGUAAUCGAUCUUUACUAGACGUUGCCGGUUC